GUGAGACCCUGUCACUAAAAAUAAACAGAAAGUAAAGAUACAUAUAUAUCUCACUGUGCUAGGCUGAAUGAUGGCCUCCCAAAGAUGUUCGCAACCUAAUCUGUAAAAACUGUGAGUUUCUUACCUUACCUGGCAAAAGGGACUUUGCAGAUGUGAUUCAACUAAGGAUGUUGAGAUGGGGAGAUUCUCCUGGGUUACCUGGCUGGGUCUGAUGUAAUCACAGGAGUCCUCAUUAGAGGGAAGCAGAAAGACCAAAGUCAGAGACGGAGAUGUGGCCGUAGAAGCAGAGGUCCAUGUGCUGCGGGGCCAUGAGCCAAGGAACCCACGCCGCCUCUGGGAACUGGGAAAGGCAAGGGAGCAACGUCUCCCUGGAGCUCCAGAGUGAGCCAGCCCUGAUGACACCGUGACUUCAGCCCUCGGAGACUGACUGUGGACAUCGGACCUCUGUCACUAUUUUCUGCAAACUAGGAAUAGAAGCAAGCUUCUUAACCUGAUGUAUCGCACCUUCAAAAAGCCUACAGCAAACAUCUUACUUAGUGAUGAAAAACUGAUUGCCUUCCCCAUAAGAUUGAGAACCAGGAACUGUCCAGGAAGACCCUGCAGUCUCUCUGCAGGCUCAUGGGAGCUCCCAGAACUGAGACAACACACGGAUCCAGGCCUGCUUCGAAGUCAGUGGGAUGCGGCCCUUGAAAGUCGAUGUAUUGGGUUCCUAGGGCUCUCGUGAAAACAUGCCACACCUGGCUGGUUUUAAACAACAGGAGUUUAUUCUGUCAGUUGAGAAGGCUACAAGUGCAAAAUCAAGAUCCUAUCAUACAUAUCUAUAAGAAAUUGAAGCAUCCAAUUAUCCUUGGAAGGAAAAAAGAAAAACUUUAAAGAAAAAAAAAUAUGGCUAAACUUACAUUUUCCAAGUAGAAAAGAACAUGGUCAUUCUUGACUUCAGUCUUCAUCACUUGGCCCUUGUUUUCAAGCUUUGAAGAAAUUGUUAGGGAAGGAUAGAGAAUAGAUUUUAGAACAAAUGACAGCGCCACUGCAGAACUCAAUGUCCACUCUUUUCUACGUCACGUUCUGUUUUAUGGAACAUUCCUUGGUGCCGUGAUGUUUUCAUAAACACAGGUAGCAACUAAAGAAAAAUAUAUGAUGAACCAUGGGAAAUACUGACUGCUAAUUGGUACAAAUUAAGUAAACCAGCUCUCCAGUGUUAGCGCAAAAAUACAAAGGUGAAUGUUGAAGAAGAACUCUAUAGUUUUGUUUUGCUAAACUAUGGCUGAACAAGUAUUUAUUUUAUCUUUAUACUCUAUGUAGCUGUCUUUGUGCUGAAAGAUUAGGCUUCUAUUAUUUACCUCUUCAAUGGAUGACAUGGUUGGAGUAAAUCCUGAUAGCAUUUUUACAUCUAUAACCACCAUACUGGAUUUAUUGCGAAUUCCAGUGUAUCUGAAAAUUUUAAGAAAACACUCGUUUAGAUAUCAAUUUUAAAAAGUGACUUAUCUCAUAA
rnacentral:lncRNA from 1 species